UUGAGGAGGUGCUAAGGGUUGGACCCUGCCACCAUAUGUCCUUCUCUUGUCUUGCUAUUUCUCCUGGCCUCCACUCAGACAAUGAAGUAGUUAGUGGUUGGUGCAUUUGCUCUCAGAUCUCACAGGUUCCUACAGAUUGAAACGUUUUUCAGCUGAUUAAGAUUCAACAUUAAGACAACAAGAGGAUCCUGUUGGGGAAACCCUUUCUGCAGAUCCUGAUUCCUUCCAGCACACCGUUACAGCGCAGCUGGUGCAUCACCAGGGGGUUCUCCAUGGCCCCAGGAGUCUUGGUCUCAUUGGGGAUGAUGCAGCGUACAAAGUGGGGAUCACCCAUGCUGCUUGACGCUCUUUGAGGUUGAACAGCAGCAGGCUCAUGGAGGAAGGUGAACAUCGCUAUGUCUUCAAUCUUAUCGAACUUUGUUUAACUUUGUCACCAUUGCGACUGAUGAUGGACGCUUUGACGUACUCAACCUCAGGGUCAGGAACGAAGCACUCCUUCCUCAUGUCGAAUGGACGAGUCUGGGCCUCCAGCCGGUCCUUAUGUAACUUUCUCAGAUGCCUUAAACCUUUGAAGGACAGCGGUGUGUGAGAUCAAUGUCAGUGUUUGGGUGUUAGACAGAGUGGAGCUCAGAUCCACCCUUCACUUUGCUCCUUCUGACGGUGCAAGACGUUGUGAAUCUGUCCGUCUUUGUGCUGCUGCUGCAAAGCUGUGAGUUACUUUGGAGACAAAGGGGACUACAGCACAGCAGAUCUCAAAGCUCGUAGGUGGCCAUCAGUGGGUUUCACUCCUCAUCCAGCCCUUUCUGUGAUGAAGAAUGAAAAGAGAAUAGACAAAGACACGGAUUAUACACAGAAGGCAAACAAGGUCUCAAUAAGUGUAACCUAAGAGAGUAAACCACAACUACAUUUUGGAACUUGAAUUUGUAGAAUUGUAAAAAAAUAAAUAAAAACAGUGUAGGACUAAAUGCAUUUGGACAAAAGCUAAGAUUAUAUAAGGUGUUCAAAAUCAUAUAAAAGCUUAAUAGCCAAGCUAUUCUUCAGUGUUUCAAGUCAAAGACAUUUGUUUUUGUUUGUUUGUCUAAUUUGUAAAUGAAAGAGAUGAUUUUAAGUCUGCAUUUUGUUUAAAAAGAGAUUCAUCUUUUAAAUAGAAUCUUGACAAAAAUGCAGCUGUGUGUCCAUGAGAGCUAAUGAUAGCCAAUAAUAAUAGUAGACUCUUGUGGACAGCUCCCAAGGGGGACAUACUGUAUGUUAACAAAAUCAAGAUCAUCGAUCAUUCAAAGCUUUGUAUGGUAUCUUUAUUUGGAUUAUUUUGUUAACAUUGAUUUGAUUGGAUAAAUAUGCUGUUACUGCAUUAACAACUAAAUCUGUCGGAUGAAAUUAAAGUAAAAAUUGAAGGUGUCCUUGUGUCAUUGAGCUAUGGGGGUCACCAUGAAUAAUUCCAGGACCUUUUUUUGCGUUCAUUUCUCUCUUUGAUCUUAUCUGUCAGGUCACUAACAAAACACUAAAAUUAUCAUGAUGCCUCCCCUGUGACAAAAGAUUAUAGCCCCACUAGCCUACAAGAGUAGACUAAUACAAUUCAUCCACACAACACCCAUAAUAAAAUUGAUUUGUACAAAG